rnacentral:sRNA from 1 species
CUUGGUCAUUUAGAGGAAGUAAAAGUCGUAACAAGGUUUCCGUAGGUGAACCUGCGGAAGGAUCAUUACCGAGUGUAGGGUUCCUAGCGAGCCCAACCUCCCACCCGUGUUUACUGUACCUUAGUUGCUUCGGCGGGCCCGCCAUUCAUGGCCGCCGGGGGCUCUCAGCCCCGGGCCCGCGCCCGCCGGAGACACCACGAACUCUGUCUGAUCUAGUGAAGUCUGAGUUGAUUGUAUCGCAAUCAGUUAAAACUUUCAACAAUGGAUCUCUUGGUUCCGGCAUCGAUGAAGAACGCAGCGAAAUGCGAUAACUAGUGUGAAUUGCAGAAUUCCGUGAAUCAUUGAGUCUUUGAACGCACAUUGCGCCCCCUGGUAUUCCGGGGGGCAUGCCUGUCCGAGCGUCAUUGCUGCCCAUCAAGCACGGCUUGUGUGUUGGGUCGUCGUCCCCUCUCCGGGGGGGACGGGCCCCAAAGGCAGCGGCGGCACCGCGUCCGAUCCUCGAGCGUAUGGGGCUUUGUCACCCGCUCUGUAGGCCCGGCCGGCGCUUGCCGAACGCAAAUCAAUCUUUUCCAGGUUGACCUCGGAUCAGGUAGGGAUACCCGCUGAACUUAAGCAUAUCAAUAAGCGGAGGAAAAGAAACCAACCGGGAUUGCCUCAGUAACGGCGAGUGAAGCGGCAAGAGCUCAAAUUUGAAAGCUGGCUCCUUCGGGGUCCGCAUUGUAAUUUGCAGAGGAUGCUUCGGGUGCGGCCCCUGUCUAAGUGCCCUGGAACGGGCCGUCAGAGAGGGUGAGAAUCCCGUCUGGGAUGGGGUGUCCGCGCCCGUGUGAAGCUCCUUCGACGAGUCGAGUUGUUUGGGAAU